rnacentral:rRNA from 1 species
GACGAACUUUGGCGGCGUGCUUAACACAUGCAAGUCGAACGGAAAGGCCCUGCUUUUGUGGGGUGCUCGAGUGGCGAACGGGUGAGUAACACGUGAGUAACCUGCCCUUGACUUUGGGAUAACUUCAGGAAACUGGGGCUAAUACCGGAUAGGAGCUCCUGCUGCAUGGUGGGGGUUGGAAAGUUUCGGCGGUUGGGGAUGGACUCGCGGCUUAUCAGCUUGUUGGUGGGGUAGUGGCUUACCAAGGCUUUGACGGGUAGCCGGCCUGAGAGGGUGACCGGCCACAUUGGGACUGAGAUACGGCCCAGACUCCUACGGGAGGCAGCAGUGGGGAAUAUUGCACAAUGGGCGGAAGCCUGAUGCAGCAACGCCGCGUGCGGGAUGACGGCCUUCGGGUUGUAAACCGCUUUCGCCUGUGACGAAGCGUGAGUGACGGUAAUGGGUAAAGAAGCACCGGCUAACUACGUGCCAGCAGCCGCGGUGAUACGUAGGGUGCGAGCGUUGUCCGGAUUUAUUGGGCGUAAAGGGCUCGUAGGUGGUUGAUCGCGUCGGAAGUGUAAUCUUGGGGCUUAACCCUGAGCGUGCUUUCGAUACGGGUUGACUUGAGGAAGGUAGGGGAGAAUGGAAUUCCUGGUGGAGCGGUGGAAUGCGCAGAUAUCAGGAGGAACACCAGUGGCGAAGGCGGUUCUCUGGGCCUUUCCUGACGCUGAGGAGCGAAAGCGUGGGGAGCGAACAGGCUUAGAUACCCUGGUAGUCCACGCUGUAAACGGUGGGUACUAGGUGUGGGGUCCAUUCCACGGGUUCCGUGCCGUAGCUAACGCUUUAAGUACCCCGCCUGGGGAGUACGGCCGCAAGGCUAAAACUCAAAGGAAUUGACGGGGCCCCGCACAAGCGGCGGAGCAUGCGGAUUAAUUCGAUGCAACGCGUAGAACCUUACCUGGGUUUGACAUGGAUCGGGAGUGCCCAGAGAUGGGUGUGCCUCUUUUGGGGUCGGUUCACAGGUGGUGCAUGGCUGUCGUCAGCUCGUGUCGUGAGAUGUUGGGUUAAGUCCCGCAACGAGCGCAACCCUUGUUCACUGUUGCCAGCACGUUAUGGUGGAGACUCAGUGGAGACCGCCGGGGUCAACUCGGAGGAAGGUGGGGAUGACGUCAAGUCAUCAUGCCCCUUAUGUCCAGGGCUUCACGCAUGCUACAAUGGCUGGUACAGAGAGUGGCGAGCCUGUGAGGGUGAGCGAAUCUCGGAAAGCCGGUCUCAGUUCGGAUUGGGGUCUGCAACUCGACCUCAUGAAGUCGGAGUCGCUAGUAAUCGCAGAUCAGCAACGCUGCGGUGAAUACGUUCCCGGGGCU